CAAGACAGCCAGACUAUCGCAGACCGCAAGGGAUGAGGAAAGUCCGAGCACCGCAAGGCAGAGUGCCGGCUAACUACCGGUCAAGGCGACUUGAAGGAAAGUGCAACAGAAAUAGACCGCCGAUUUUAUAUCGGUAAGGAUGGAAAGGCGGGGUAAGAGCCCACCGUCUUUGAGGUAACUCGAAGAGCCCUGUAAACCCCACUCGGUGCAAGAGAAAAUCGACGUUAAAGUAGCCUGCCAGUCGAAAAAAAUCGCUUGAGCGUAUCGGUAACGCUACGCCUAGACAGAUGAUAGUCUAAUACAGAACUCGGCUUAUAGACUGUCUUGCAUA
rnacentral:RNase_P_RNA from 1 species